rnacentral:rRNA from 1 species
GAUGAACGCUGGCGGCGUGCCUAAUACAUGCAAGUCGAGCGAACAGACGAGGAGCUUGCUCCUCUGACGUUAGCGGCGGACGGGUGAGUAACACGUGGAUAACCUACCUAUAAGACUGGGAUAACUUCGGGAAACCGGAGCUAAUACCGGAUAAUAUAUUGAACCGCAUGGUUCAAUAGUGAAAGACGGUUUUGCUGUCACUUAUAGAUGGAUCCGCGCCGCAUUAGCUAGUUGGUAAGGUAACGGCUUACCAAGGCAACGAUGCGUAGCCGACCUGAGAGGGUGACCGGCCACCCUGGACCUGAGACCCGGCCCAGACCCCUACGGGAGGCAGGAGGAGGGAAUCUUCCGAAAUGGGCGAAAGCCUGACGGAGCAACGCCGCGGGAGUGAUGAAGGUCUUCGGAUCGUAAAACUCUGUUAUUAGGGAAGAACAAAUGUGUAAGUAACCAUGCCCGUCUUGACGGUACCUAAUCAGAAAGCCACGGCUAACUACGG